rnacentral:rRNA from 2 species
GGUUGACCUCGGAUCAGGUAGGAGUUACCCGCUGAACUUAAGCAUAUCAAUAAGCGGAGGAAAAGAAACCAACCGGGAUUGCCUCAGUAACGGCGAGUGAAGCGGCAAGAGCUCAAAUUUGAAAUCUGGCCCCUUGGGGUCCGAGUUGUAAUUUGCAGAGGAUGCUUCGGGUGCGGUCCCCGUCUAAGUGCCCUGGAACGGGCCGUCAUAGAGGGUGAGAA